GACGAACGCUGGCGGCGUGCUUAACACAUGCAAGUCGAGCGAGGCCCCUCCUUCGGGAGGGUGUCCUAGCGGCGAACGGGUGAGUAACACGUGGGCAACCUGCCCUCAGCUCUGGGAUAACUCCGGGAAACCGGGGCUAAUACCGGAUACGACCUCCACGGGCAUCUGCGGAGGUGGAAAGUUUUUCGGCUGAGGAUGGGCCCGCGGCCUAUCAGCUAGUUGGUGGGGUAGUGGCCCACCAAGGCGACGACGGGUAGCCGGCCUGAGAGGGCGACCGGCCACACUGGGACUGAGACACGGCCCAGACUCCUACGGGAGGCAGCAGUGGGGAACAUUGCGCAAUGGGCGAAAGCCUGACGCAGCGACGCCGCGUGAGGGACGAAGGCCUUCGGGUUGUAAACCUCUUUCAGCAGGGACGAAGCGAAAGUGACGGUACCUGCAGAAGAAGCACCGGCCAACUACGUG
rnacentral:rRNA from 1 species